rnacentral:sRNA from 1 species
UAUAUGCUGAGAAAAUCUUUAAAAACCUUCUUCUCAAAAACUAUUAGGCCAGAAAAGCCCAAAUUUGAGUAGAAGCAUCCCCAGAUCCUAUAGAUUCAAGUUUGUUUAAAAAAUAGUCCAGGGGUAGGGUGAGGCCACAAUGUGGGAUGAAUUUUCACAUAGGAAAUAUAUAGAGAAAAUCUUUUUAAAGAAUCUUCUUUUUAGAGACAAUUUGGCCAGAAAAGCUUAAACUUGUGUAGAGGCAUCCUCGGGUAGUGUAAAUUCAAGUUUGCAAAAUCACAGUCCCUAGUGGUAGGGUGGGGCCGUGAUGGCGGUUUGAAUUUUUACAUAGGAAUUCAUAGAGAAAAUCUUUAAAAAUAUUCUGGGAAAGUUUUCGGUCCAAAACUCAGUACUUAGUGUGAAAGCACAGGUUAUGCAGAUUUAAGUUUGAUGAAACCAUGAUACCCUAGAGAAAAGUGAGGCCACGAAAUGGGGGGGGGGGGGGGGUACAUAGGAAUAGAGAAAAAUCUUCUUACAGGUACAACAACAAAAGGGGCUUGGUAUGAAACUUAAACUGAAACAUUUGGUAAUCAACAAACAAAUACUUUUUAUAACCCACAUAAGCAUCAAAGCUGGCUGAACAACAACAGUCAUAAUUUUAUAAGUGCAUCGCGAGUGCAUACAUUUUAAAACUUACUUAAUUUUUGCAGCUAACAUCGAUCUUGACAAGAGGAUUCGUGUGUGCGAGUGUUUAUGGGAGGGGGUGAUUUUGUUUUUCUAGAUGCCACAUCAAUAAUCUCACUGUGUCUGAGUUUGUAGGGAACCAUAGCAAAAAGGCAUGAGGAUUACCCGUGAAAUCUUUUUUUUUCUUUUUGUACAGUAGUUUUUUAUCCGAUCCCAUGAUGUCAUCACGCUUGAAUUUGUUCAGUGCUAAAGCUUCCUGGCAAUAGCGUUGUUAUGGUGGCAUAGAUCUGCCACCACUUGUCAGAUAAUUAUGUUAACUUCUCAUAUGAUAAUGUCGGCUUGUCAGAUAUUUAUGUCAACUUGUCAGAUCUUUAUGUUGACUUGUCAGAAAAUAACCAUAGUGACUAGAAACUCAAUAUUUUGUUGUCAAAGCGUGUAAGUGCCACUAACUGCCAUUUACUUGUCAUCAUAAUAUCAUAUAAGUCAACAUAAAUAUCUGACAAGUUUACAUAAUCAUCUGACAAGUCGACAUAAAGAUCUGACAAGUUUACAUAAUUAUCUGUCAAGUCGACAUAAAUAUCUGAUGUUGUCUUGUCAGAUGGUAUGUCGUCCUGUCAAAUAAUUAUGUCGACUUGUCAGAUAAUUAUGUCGACUUGUCAAAUAAUCAUAUUGACUUAAAAGAUGAUUGUGUCAACUUGUCAGAUCCUUAUGUCGACUUGUCAGAAAAUAUUAUUUCAAAUGGAUGGCACAAAUUGGGCGUGGAAAGGUUAAAGUGUUGAAUUCUUAAACACGUGAAUAAGUGACAAGUCGAUUUAAAGAACUGACAAGUGAACAUCUGACAAGACGACAUCAAGAUCUGACAAGUCGACAUAAUUAUCUGACAAGUAGUGGCAGAUCUAUGCCACCAUACGUUGUUAUUCAUUUUAACAGCUUACUUACUUUAGUUAUCUCUUGUUGAGAUAUCGAUCACCUUUUUUAUUUGAAAUGAUAAAGCAACCUUCAAAAUAAAUUUGAAAAAUCGUAAAGAAUGUUUAACUUACAUGAUAUAUACUUUAUAAGAUAUGAAUAUUUAUUGAAUAAAAAAUAUUUUCAAGGU